CUGAGUGAGGGCCCUCUGGGUCCAACCUCCCACCCGUGUUUAUCGUACCUUGUUGCUUCGGCGGGCCCGCCGUCAUGGCCGCCGGGGGGCACCCGCCCCCGGGCCCGCGCCCGCCGAAGACACCAUUGAACGCUGUCUGAAGAAUGCAGUCUGAGCAAUUAGCUAAAUUAGUUA
rnacentral:misc_RNA from 1 species